rnacentral:rRNA from 1 species
UACGUAGGGGGCUAGCGUUGUCCGGAAUCACUGGGCUUAAAGGGAGCGUAGGCGGGCUAUCAAGUCUGGGGUGAAAUCCCGCGGCUCAACCGCGGAACUGCCUCAGAUACUGACGGCCUCGAGGGAGAUAGGGGCAUGCGGAACUGUAGGUGGAGCGGUGAAAUGCGUUGAUAUCUACAGGAACUCCGGUGGCGAAAGCGGCGUGCUGGAUCUCUUCUGACGCUGAGGCUCGAAAGCUAGGGGAGCAAACGGG